rnacentral:rRNA from 1 species
CACUCUGGCACCAGAGCAGUUUGAGGGCACCCCAUCCCAGAAGCUAAGCUGGGUCAGACUUGUCUGGAGCUUGGAUGAGGGACCACCUGGGAACAACAAGGGCUGGAGGCU